rnacentral:rRNA from 1 species
AGAGUUUGAUCAUGGCUCAGGACGAACGCUGGCGGCGUGCUUAACACAUGCAAGUCGAACGGAUCUUGGGGGCUUGCCUCCGAGGUUAGUGGCGAACGGGUGAGUAACACGUGAGUAACCUGCCCCUGACUCUGGGAUAACUGCUGGAAACGGUGGCUAAUACCGGAUAUGAGACCUUGCCGCAUGGUGGGGUUUGGAAAGAUUUUUUGGUUGGGGAUGGACUCGCGGCCUAUCAGCUUGUUGGUGGGGUAAUGGCUCACCAAGGCGACGACGGGUAGCCGGCCUGAGAGGGCGACCGGCCACACUGGGACUGAGACACGGCCCAGACUCCUACGGGAGGCAGCAGUGGGGAAUAUUGCACAAUGGGCGCAAGCCUGAUGCAGCGACGCCGCGUGAGGGAUGAAGGCCUUCGGGUUGUAAACCUCUUUCAGCAGGGAAGAAGCGUGAGUGACGGUACCUGCAGAAGAAGCGCCGGCUAACUACGUGCCAGCAGCCGCGGUAAUACGUAGGGCGCAAGCGUUGUCCGGAAUUAUUGGGCGUAAAGAGCUCGUAGGCGGUUUGUCGCGUCUGCUGUGAAAACCUAAGGCUCAACCUUGGGCUUGCAGUGGGUACGGGCAGACUAGAGUGCGGUAGGGGUGACUGGAAUUCCUGGUGUAGCGGUGGAAUGCGCAGAUAUCAGGAGGAACACCGAUGGCGAAGGCAGGUCACUGGGCCGCAACUGACGCUGAGGAGCGAAAGCAUGGGGAGCGAACAGGAUUAGAUACCCCAGUAGUCC